rnacentral:lncRNA from 1 species
UGUUAGAUCUGGCUUCUUAAUCUCCUUUUUCAACCUAAAUGGUUUAUGGCGUCGCUCUUGAUGCCGAAUUUGCCCCAAAAGGCGAAAUAGAAACUGCUCAGAGACUAAGUUUUCAAGUCCAUAAGCAGGAGGUAUUUAUUAGCAACGCGUUGGGGAACUCUCCAGGCUGCCCUGGACAAAGAGUUCCCUCGGUUAGCAAUCAGUGCAGCUUUUUUAUACAAGUUUGAGUGUAGGUUACAUCAUCUUUACAUGCAUAUUCAUAUCUUUACAUGCAUAUUCAUAUACAGGCGGAGUCUUCCAUUUUGGGGAGUCGUCUGGUGGGAGUUCUGGUGCCUUCAUCAGGGCGGGGGAUCAUCGUGUGAGUCUUUCUCGGGUUAAACUUCUGAACUCUUCCUAAUUUGGGUAGCUUCUUGGUGUACUUGGCAAGGUCCGAGUGACCUUGGUUCAUCCUAAAAUUGCUGAAGCCACUACUUCAUGUUCUGGUGUUCUUUCCUAUCAACUUGUUCUGUUCUCUCAAACAAUUUAUCACCUUCGUGAUUUGGUAAGAUCUAGCAAAUGUAGCCUGACUGACCACAAACGGGGCCUGCAACUCCUCAGAGCUAUGACAAGUGACAAGAGAGGAAGGCAGGAAUGUAGGGAGUAGGCCUGAGACCAGCACCAUGAUGUCUUGAAGCAGCAAAACAGUGUUGUCGACCUUGCUGGGAGAUAGGGGAUUCAAAGAAGGAACCCAGCUUACAUUUUAACUCCUUAUUUCUCGAAGACUGCUUCCUUUUGAGCGGUUUCACUCUGGAUAACCUUCUGCCAUCGUUUUUAGCAGGUCGUGCUGUGACCAUGACUGCAGACAAUAAUGCUUCAAGAGCUGUAGUAUGAAGCCCGUGCUGCUUCACCUCUGCUUACCUUGGGUGAACGUACCCCAGCACCUCAUCAUCUGCCAAGACACCAGCUGUAGUGGGUCACACCAGGGCUUCUUCGCACACAAGGAGUCAACACCCAGGCAAAGAAAAAGCCAGAGGCAAAACAGCCAUCGUAUUCACUGGGACAAAAGCUGGGUUCCUGUGUCCUCUACCUCUCCUCCAAGGUUUCUCAGCUGUCCUGCAGUUCCACACGUGCCAAGAAGCUGCUAAUACCAUUAUACCCACGUCUGUCUGCACCAAUCUUUCCAGCAGAGACAAAUCUUUCUCUGCAGGGCUGAUCAAGGCCUCCAAACACACGUUUGAACCUAACAAGAAAUUCAACCCGAA